rnacentral:rRNA from 1 species
GUGGGGAAUCUUGCGCAAUGGGCGAAAGCCUGACGCAGCCAUGCCGCGUGAAUGAUGAAGGUCUUAGGAUUGUAAAAUUCUUUCACCGGGGACGAUAAUGACGGUACCCGGAGAAGAAGCUCCGGCUAACUUCGUGCCAGCAGCCGCGGUAAUACGAAGGGGGCUAGCGUUGCUCGGAAUUACUGGGCGUAAAGGGCGCGUAGGCGGACAGCUUAGUCAGAGGUGAAAGCCCAGGGCUCAACCUUGGAAUUGCCUUUGAUACUGGCUGUCUUGAGUUUGGGAGAGGUGAGUGGAACUCCGAGUGUAGAGGUGAAAUUCGUAGAUAUUCGGAAGAACACCAGUGGCGAAGGCGACACACUGGCUCAUUACUGACGCUGAGGCGCGAAUGCGUGGGGAGCAAACAGGAUUAGAAACCCCGGUAGUCC